CUACCUUGGCCUCCCAAAGUGCUGGGAUUAUAGGGUGAGCCAUCGCGCCCGGCCCCUUUUGAUUUCUUUACAGAAUAUUGCUGUAGUAUAACUUUUUUCCAUGCACUUAAUUUUUGUUCCCUUGUUGGCAUAUUUCAUUUUCUUCCCUGAAAAUGGGUAGACUGAGAUAAGGUAUGAGGAAGCCUUGGCCAUGCCACCAGCCGCUUAUCCCAAAUUCCUGAUCCCUGGAAGACAUCUGGGCUCUCCCUCCUGUUCCAGCCCAGUAGCUUCCAGCAAAGGUACUGGCUCAAUUGGACACGGAGUGUGGAACUGCCUGCUCACACUUGUGAACCCCCGUCCAGAAGGAAGAAACAGAAAGGGCCCAGUGAGUAUAGGAAGAUGCCAGGGCCCACUGUGGAAAGCCUGGAGCCAAGUUUUUCUUAAAUGCAAAUGUCCCCAGUGUGGGGUCACGUCCAAGCUCCAGAAGGAAGCCUGGCCUGGGCGGGGGGGUGGGAGGGCUGUUGCUAGAACCUGUCAAUCCUGCUCCACACUUCCGAGUUUUCCGUGGCUUCUCCUGAAACCCGGGCCUAGGGGGUGGGGCUUGAUUCCUAUCCUAGGGGUACUGGGCGGGGUCGUGUAAAUUAUCCAAUCAGGCGCUCCGCCAGGAGGGUGGGGCCAAGCUCCGCAAGUCUAAGGGGCUCCUGUUCCCCUAACCCACUGAAUUCAGCCUUCCAGAGGCCGAGGUGGCUCCACCACAGCUUCUGUCCGGUGGUGACCAGCACUGAUCUCCGGAGCCAAGGGAGGACCCGGGACACCUGGGAGCCGGGAAAUGCUGCAGCCCAAGAGGCCAACUGGAACGUUAACAUCAGACACUAAUCCAGCUGACUGGACACAAUUGGGAAAACUGGUUAUUUUACCAAGGCUUUAACUGGAAUGGUGUGCCUUCCUUUAAGGAAUCAAAUUUGACUUAUGGAGCCAAUAAAGCCCUUGGAAAGCUGGCCUCAGAUUUCAUGUACAGUCCCUGUACAGGGUUUCCGAUCUGUGGUAAGUAAAGAAUGUCACUUUCUGACAGGCCAGGAGUCCCAAGUUAUCUUAGAACCUCAAGAAGAGAGGAUUUCUCCCAACUCAUAGGUAUUCAGUGGUACAAAUCUAUGGCUGGCCUUGCCUUUAAAAAGGUCUUAUCUCACAUUCCUUCUACAAAACAAAGUUCCAUCAAAGCCAAUUUAAAGGACCUAAGUAACAAAUAAUUAUUCUUGCUCCACUGUAUGCAAAUAACUAAGCCAAGUAUAAUAAAGAAAAUCAGUCCUACUGGUAUGAUUUGUCUUUUAAUGAAAAUGGUAAACUUGAGAGAGAAAAUUAUGUUUCAAAAACGAUAGCACACAUGUUGUUAAAUCCUGGUGUUGCCUAAUGUUUUUCAAUUCUUACUAUUUUCUGUUUAAAUUAAAUUCUAAUUUUUCUGGCUACAAGUUUCCAAAAUAGCUGUGCUUUCUGAAAGCCCUAUAAACUGAAAACUUGAUGUUUCAGCAGGCGCUGCCUCUAAGCCCCCGACUCUCACCGGAGGAAAUAAAUAGGAAACCUUAAGCUAAAAUAAGUAACCAAGAGAGAAUUACUCAUCCUAUUCAGUCUCACCCCUACCUCAUCAAAUACUUUUAUCGUUCCUACCUCUCCUUUUAAGCCAAAUAUUAAAACUUUUUAAUGGAAAUUAUUUACUACGCCACCCGUGUGGGAAUUGCUUUACUCACUCUACUAUUUGCAGUAGGACUAUAUACUGUAGCACCCUCAGGGUAAAAUAUCAGACACAGAAUCUCAAUUACCAUAGCAUUUCGCUUAAUUAUUAUCCUCAUAGCGGGAAUAAUGGUUACUAACAGAAAAUAACACAUGGGCCUUUCCAAACCAGCACCUCUGCCUCUUAUUAGGAAAGGAAUGUUGUUUCUAUAUCAGCCAAUCAGACCUAGUAAAAAGCGCUAUUAAAAAAAACAAGCUAAAAAGCUAAGGAGUACCAAAACAAACAAACAGAUUCUUGGUUUGGGAACAAAAUCAUAGAUAGCAUGGGUCAUCCCAUUCCUGGGCCCUCUCCUAAUAAUAUACCUAAUUAUGGGACUAAUGUUCUUACCCUGCCUAAUUAACCUUUUUCAGAGAUUUUUUAAACUGACAGGAUCAUGGCCAUUUCACAGACAACUACCCAAAAAUAUCUACAGACGGCACUGCUCCUACCAACCCGAUACCAGAGAACUCUCUGUCCCCUCGUCAGCAGGAAGUAGCCAGAAAGAACAUGCCGCCCCUCGUCCUUUUUAUAACUAUGAGGUCUGGAUUGACAGAGCAGAAGCAUCACCAUUGUGGAUAAGCGCCUCAUUUUAAAAUUCACCUUAAUCAAAAACUGCCUAAAUCCAAAGGGCAUCAGCCUAAUGGCUAAGGUCAGCAUGAUCACAAACCACAAAUAACAUCUCCAACCAAAAACAUUCCAGACACCUCCCACAGAGAAAUGCUAGCCUCGGGAUAACCCCUCUCCUGCCGGAAAGAUGUCACCCCCAAGAUAACCACCCCUCCGCCCAGAACAUUCCAACCCUGCCACAAACUUCUCCCCCACACAGAAACAUUCCAAGCUUGUAAUAAGCUCCCUCACCCUAAAACCAACGUACAUUCUUAGUCUGCAAGGAAAAGUGCUCCUGACUGACCAGCCAGAAUCCUCUCUCAGGUCUUUUCUAUAAUAAACCUGUCUUUGACUGUCAA
rnacentral:lncRNA from 1 species